CCCUUAGAUGUUCUGGGCCGCACGCGCGCUACACUGAAUGGAUCAACGUGUUUUCCCUUCCCGAGAGGGACGGGUAACCCGCUGAACCCCAUUCGUGGUAGGGAUCGGAGCUUGCAAUUGUUCUCCGUGAACCAGGAAUUCCCAGUAAGCGCGAGUCAUAAGCUCGCGUUGAUUACGUCCCUGCCCUUUGUACACACCGCCCGUCGCUACUACCGAUUGAACGGUUUAGUGAGGGCAUCGGACUGGUCUCGGCCCGCCCUUCACCGGUGCGGCGCCGCCGGCCGGGAAGACGCUCGAACUUGAUCGUUUAGAGGAAGUAAAAGUCGUAACA
rnacentral:rRNA from 1 species